rnacentral:rRNA from 1 species
GAUGAACGCUGGCGGCGUGCCUAAUACAUGCAAGUCGAGCGAACAGAUGAGGAGCUUGCUCCUUUGACGUUAGCGGCGGACGGGUGAGUAACACGUGGAUAACCUACCUAUAAGACUGGGAUAACUUCGGGAAACCGGAGCUAAUACCGGAUAAUAUGUUGAACCGCAUGGUUCUAUAGUGAAAGACGGCUUUGCUGUCACUUAUAGAUGGAUCCGCGCCGUAUUAGCUAGUUGGUAAGGUAACGGCUUACCAAGGCAACGAUGCGUAGCCGACCUGAGAGGGUGAUCGGCCACACUGGAACUGAGACACGGUCCAGACUCCUACGGGAGGCAGCAGUAGGGAAUCUUCCGCAAUGGGCGAAAGCUUGACGGAGCAACGCCGCGUGAGUGAUGAAGGUCUUCGGAUCGUAAAACUCUGUUAUUAGGGAAGAACAAAUGUGUAAGUAACUAUGCGCGUCUUGACGGUACCUAAUCAGAAAGCCACGGCUAACUACGUG